UAGAAAAUGACGUGAACUCUUAACGGAGUUCUCUCAAAGUGUUGGAGGGGAAGGCCUGCGCUUAAUUGCGCGGCUGUUUUUAAUCUCCUCCGCCUUUGAUACACACAUUGGAGUUUCUACUUUUUUGUUCUCUUUGGGAGGGUUCUGCUCUCCCAGAGGUAAACACAAACAAUCUUUUAUUAUACUAUUAACACAGUCAAAUGAAUUUUAAAAACAAAAUAUUCAAAACUUUCAACAACGGAUCUCUUGGUUCUCGCAUCGAUGAAGAACGCAGCGAACUGCGAUACGUAAUGUGAAUUGCAGAAUUCCGUGAAUCAUCGAAUCUUUGAACGCACAUUGCGCCCCUUGGUAUUCCGGGGGGCAUGCCUGUUUGAGCGUCAUUUCCCUCUCAAACUUUACGUUUGGUAGUGAGCGAUACUCUACUCUGGAGUUUGCUUGAAAAUGGGAGGCCAUAGGCGGAGCUUAGUUUGCGACUGUGCCGAGAGGCAUGGGAGCGGCCUAGCCACGAAAAGUCGUAUUAGGUUUUACCGACUCGGCGGAAUAGUGGAGAGGUUUCUUUUUUUUUAUUCUAAGGUAAGCCGUCUGGCUAGACAAAAUUCUCAAAG
rnacentral:misc_RNA from 1 species